AGGGUUUGAUCAUGGCUCAGAACGUACGCUGGCGGCACGCCUAAUACAUGCAAGUCGAACGGAGUAGCAAUACUUAGUGGCAGACGGGUGAGUAACAUGUAGGUAUCUUCCCUUUGGUGAGGAAUAACACGAGGAAACUUGUGCUAAUACCUCAUAAGUCUUUACGGAGAAAGCUUUAUGCGCCAAUGGAUGAGCCUGCACUUGAUUAGUUUGUUGGUGGGGUAAUGGCCUACCAAGACAAUGAUCAAUAGCUGAUUUGAGAGGAUGAUCAGCCACAUUGGGACUGAGACACGGCCCAAACUCCUACGGGAGGCAGCAGUAGGGAAUCUUGCACAAUGGGGGAAACCCUGAUGCAGCGAUGCCGCGUGAGUGAAGAAGGCCUUUGGGUUGUAAAGCUCUUUCGUCGGGGAAGAAAAUGACUGUACCCGAAUAAGAAGGUCCGGCUAACUUCGUGCCAGCAGCCGCGGUAAUACGAAGGGACCUAGCGUAGUUCGGAAUUACUGGGCUUAAAGAGUUCGUAGGUGGUUAAAAAAGUUGGUGGUGAAAUCCCAGAGCUUAACUCUGGAACUGCCAUCAAAACUUUUUAGCUAGAGUAUGAUAGAGGAAAGCAGAAUUUCUAGUGUAGAGGUGAAAUUCGUAGAUAUUAGAAAGAAUACCAAUUGCGAAGGCAGCUUUCUGGAUCAUUACUGACACUGAGGAACGAAAGCAUGGGUAGCGAAGAGGAUUAGAUACCCUCGUAGUCCAUGCCGUAAACGAUGUGUGUUAGACGUUGGAAAUUUAUUUUCAGUGUCGCAGCGAAAGCAAUAAACACACCGCCUGGGGAGUACGACCGCAAGGUUAAAACUCAAAUGAAUUGACGGGACCCGCACAAGUAGUGGAGCAUGUGGUUUAAUUCGAAGAUACGCGCAGAACCUUACCAACACUUGACAUGUUCGUCGCGACUUUAAGAGAUUAAAGUUUUCGGUUCGGCCGGACGAAACACAGGUGCUGCAUGGCUGUCGUCAGCUCGUGUCGUGAGAUGUUGGGUUAAGUCCCGCAACGAGCGCAACCCUCACUUUUAGUUGCCAUCAUUUAGUUGGGCACUCUGAAAGAACUGCCAGUGAUAAGCUGGAGGAAGGUGGGGAUGACGUCAAGUCCUCAUGGCCCUUACGUGUUGGGCUACACACGUGCUACAAUGGCAUUUACAAUAGGAAGCAAGACGGCGACGUUAAGCAAAUCCUAAAAAAAUGCCUCAGUUCGGAUUGUACUCUGCAACUCGAGUACAUGAAGCUGGAAUUACUAGUAAUCGCGGAUCAGCGCGCCGCGGUGAAUACGUUCCCGGGUCUUGUACACACCGCCCGUCACACCAUGGGAGUUGGUUCUACCUUAAGGCAAAGGUUAAAAACUUUGACCACGGUAUAGUCAGCGACUGGGGUGAAGUCGUAACAAGGUAGCCGUA
rnacentral:rRNA from 1 species